GGGGAUUUAGCUCAGUGGUAAAGCGCUUGCCUGGCAAGUGCAAGGCCCUGGGUUCGGUCCCCAGCUCCA
rnacentral:tRNA from 1 species